rnacentral:rRNA from 1 species
ACCAGUUGAUCCUGCUGGAGGAUACCGCUAUCAGAAUUCGAUUAAGCCAUGCAAGUUUCGCGUUGGAGCUUUCCAACGCAGCAACGGCUCAGUAACACGUACUUAACCUACCCUAUGGAGGCGGACAACGUCGGGAAACUGACGGUAAUACGCCGUAGUCUUGGAUGUCUGGAACGACGCCAAAACAAUAAGGAUUGCAAAUUGUAGCAACUCCGCCUUAGGAUGGGAGUGCGGCUGAUUAGGUAGUUGGUGGGGUAAAGGCCCACCAAGCCUAUAAUCAGUAGAGGCUAUGGGAGUAGGAGCCUCGAGACGGGCACUGAGACAAGGGCCCGAGCCCUACGGGGUGCAGCAGGCGCGAAAAUUCCGCGAUGCGCGAAAGCGUGACGGGGGAAUUCUGAGUGUUUCUCUUACGAGAAGCUUUUGCCCAGAUUGAAUCUCUGGGAGAAUAAGGGGUGGGUAAAUCCUGUGCCAGCCGCCGCGGUAAUACAGGUAGCCCGAGUGGUAUCCACGAAUAUUGAGCCUAAAGCGCUCGUAGCCGGUUUUGCAAGUCCUCUGUGAAAUCUACUGGCUCAACCAGUAGGCGUGCAGGGGAUACUACAAGGCUAGGGAGUGGGGGAGGUAACGGGUACGUUAGGGGGAGGGGUAAAAUCCUGUAAUCCUUAACGGACCUUCAGUAGCGAAAGCGCGUUACCAAAACACGUCCGACGGUGAGGGGCGAAGGCUAGGGGAGCAAAUCGGAUUAGAUACCCGAGUAGUCCUAGCAGUAAAUUAUGCAGACUAGGCAUUGCAAUGGCUUUGAGCUGUUGCAGCGCCGUAGGGAAGCUAUUAAGUCUGCCGCUUGGGGAGUACGGUCGCAAGGCUGAAACUUAAAGGAAUUGGCGGGGGAGCACCACAAGGGGUGGAUGCUGCGGUUCAAUUGGACUCAACGCCGGGAAACUCACCAGGAAAGACAGCAGUAUGAAGCCCAGACUGAAGAUCUUGGCUGACAAGCUGAGAGGUAUUGCAUGGCCAGCGUCAGCUCGUGCCGUGAGGUGUCAGGUUAAGUCCUGCAACGAGCGAGAUCUCUGCCUACAGUUGCUAAUCUUUUGGAAACAAGGGAUGCACUCUGUGGGGACUGCAUGCGUUAAGUAUGAGGAAGGAAGAGGCGACGCUAGGUCAGUAUGGUCCGAAUUUCCUGGGCCACACGUGGCAUACAAUGGUGGAGACAAUGGGUCACAACGCCGAAAGGUGAAGUUAAUCCCAGAAACUCCGCCCAAGUUCGGAUUGGGGGCUGAAACUCGUCCCCAUGAAGCUGGAAUCCCUAGUAAUCGCGUGUCAUCAUCGCGCGGUGAAUAUGUCCCCGCUCCUUGCACACACCGCCCGUCAAGUCAACCAAGCGGGGUUCUAUUGAGGCUUAGCUUUAGGGUUAAAUCGAGGUAGAACUCUGUAAGGUGGAUUAAGUCGUAACAAGGUA